GUACUUACAUGCGUUAUUGCUAUAAAAUUUUAAUACCUUGUACACUAUUAAAUUCACAAAUUUGUAUUUACUAGACGUUACUCACAGCUCACUAGUUUACUAGACUAUAGAUUUUACCAAUUUAUCAAUAAAAGUUGAAUUAAGGUGUUGAGUCAUUGUUGUUCAAAUUUUUCCUACAGAAAAAACAAUCCGACUUGAUAAUUUUACCCUUUUUUUAACAUAUAUUAUAUACAUCAGGAUAGACGACUUGAGAGAUGGAGCCAACGGACAGCGAUGACGAAAGAGAAAUUUUGGCAAGGAAUUGGAGAAAACAUCUACUUGAUGUACAAAAAACAGCUUUACGGGAUGGAGCUACCAGCACCGAACCAGAAUCGGAUGUAAUGUUUCAAAUGGGAUUUGAUAGCGGUUACAAUGAAGGAUUUAAACGAGGUUAUGAGCAAGGAUCAUAUAACAGUACUAUGAGGUUAUUAAAACAAUUCAAUAUGUCUGAAGAUAAUGACCAAGAUGGCACAAUAAUAAGCACUGCCAAUUGUUGAAAACUAUUUCACAUUUAUCCUUCAAAAAAAUGUUCCAGUUUGUAUUACUUGUAAAUCAAGACGAGUGAAUUAUGAGCUUUUCAUUGGGAAAAAAAAAAAAAUAAUUAUCAUAGAAAUGAACACAAAGUUAAUCGCUGUCGUCGUUAGGCGGAUUCAAAGGUUUAUGGCUUUCAUCAUCAGAUCCAUAAGGACCGUCUUCUUCGGAAUCGUUAACCAUUGAAAAAGCUGGGUUGUCUUUUGUUAUUGAAGAUUCUAAAUCAUUUGAAAACCGAUGAAGCGAAUACACUGCAGCUAGAGUGUACACGUAAAAAUUACAAAUCCCGUAAAAUGUCAUGAACAAGGCCGACGACAUGUAUUCAGUAUUUAAAUCGGCGGCAAAUGUAUCUUCGAUUAAACCGAAUCCAUAUCGCAUGUACGUGAUGAUAAAACAAAUAAGCAGCGAAAUAACCAUUGAAAUGCUUACAAACUUUAGUCUUGCAUCUAAAAAAUAGGAUUAUUAUAUUUUUAUCACACAAUUUGUUGAAUUAACUAAAUUGUUAUCAAACUCACCGAAGUAGGGCAUCGAACGCAAAUCACUGUAUGCUCUCAAAAUCAAGCACACCAAGAAUAAAAUGUAAACGAAUGCGAAAAUGUUCACGCACAGCUUUAUGUUCUGUAAAGAAAACACAUAAUUACAACAUUCUUCCUAAUGGACACCUAAGAUGAUUACAAUGAUUUACCGAAAAAGCAUUGGUAUCGAUCUCAUAACUGAAUGCUGGAUCUUCGAAUUCAUUUAUACGUCGAUACUUGGCAAUUAAAACACCGCUCAACCAAAACGGACUUACUAAAGCGAUUUUGAAUAGAUAAAAUGUCAGUGGUUUUCUUUCAUUCUAAACCAAAAUAAAAGGGUUUGGUAUUUAACAGAAAUUAUAACCAUUGUAUGUUUAUUAUAUUGUUCAAGUUUUAAAUACCUGGCGGAGUCCAUGAUAGAUGCAAAGCCAAUAGAAUAGUAUAGCACAAAUAAAUGUGAUUUGGAAAACUCCAUCGGCGACUCCGAUUACUUCGUUGCCGGUCAGAAGUGUCAGAGGGAAAAAUGGAUCUAAAAAGUUGUUCACGCUAAUAAUUGAAAUAUUACUGUAAAAGUGAACUAUUUAAAUAACAUCAAAUUACGUACUGUUAAAUAAAAUAAGUAAAGGCAAUAAAAUGAUGGUCCAUUUCUGU